rnacentral:lncRNA from 1 species
CAUCCCCAUCCCCAUCAUCCAGGGCAUGCUCCCACAGUUAGAAUCUGUUCCUCAGUUGACAAUACAAACUUCUGUGGAAAACAGAUUCUAUUUGUUCCCUGAUUUCAUAUCUGGAUAAGUCAAUCUGCUAUUUCAAGUUUCAAGAGAUGAUCAGACGCACAUUAAUCCGUGAAAUAAGAGCUUUUCAAAUCAAGAUUUGUGUUUUCAGAAUCUGGA